AUGCAACAGACUGCUUCUAUAAGGCUCAGCAUUCUACCCUUGGCUGCCACUUGUGCCUUUCCUGUUCAAAGCCAACAUUCAUUCCUCACUCAGAAAUCUUUGGCGCCUACACACAAAGGGCUGGGGAUGAGAGGCAGGAAUCAGGGUCUGCCCCCAGAGGGUGCUAACUUAGCCUCCAGCAGUUUUAAGCUUUACUUGGAAAGAAAAGCCAGUCUCUCCAGUGAGGGAGGGGCUGAGAUGAACUCCUUCCUCAAGUCCUCUGACUUUCCAAGAAGUCCUGGCUCUGAGCUGCGGGUAAGUUUACAAAACAACAUCUUUUCUUUAGCACUUAGCACCAUGUUUUGCACAUGAGGUGGCACUCGCCCAAUGUUUGUUGAAUGAAUGUGAAUGGAAAUUCAUUUCCUCUGGCAGAUUCACCAAGGCAGUCUCCCUGCUAUGAGAGGGCUCUAACUACAGCCUGCAGAGCAUUUGGACCUAGUUAGGUAGAACAGGAUUUGCUUGGAGCACAAAAGUACCCUUUCUAAAUUCUAGGGUUCACUAGUCUGAGUUACAGAACCAGUCUCCUCUGCGCCCAUCCCUGAUUUACCAAGUGCACUCGAAAUUUUAGACCUUCAGCAAGUACCGAUUACUUGUAUUGCACGCAGCCCUCCCUGAAACUUCUUAGGACUGAAGCACUAAACGGUACUGAGGUAAAAGUUCCAUGACUAGCUGGCACUUGACUGUACAAUCUUAUUUCAUUAUGUUUAAACCUCAAAAUUAGCAUCAGGUAGCCACAAUCUAGUGUGGAAAAAAAAAUUACACCUCCUGAUAAACUCUGAAGGCUAUGUUAUUUCCCUUCUUUUAAAUGAAAUUCUUGUGCUUAUUAUAAAAAAAAAAUUUCUAAAAGAUGAUUUCUCAGAGUGUACUGGAGACCCAUAUCUGUCUGAAAAUUCUUAAAAAUUUUUUUCCAUUUUCUUCCAGAUCUUAGGGGAAAAGCUUUCAGUUUUCCACCCUGGAUUAUGGUGUUGGUGUUGGUUUUUCAUAUAUAGUUGUAUUGUGCUGAGGCAGUCUCCUUCUAUACCUAGUUUUUGUUUUUAAUCCUGAAAAGGUAUUGAAUUUUACCAAAUAAUUUUCUGUAUCAGUGGAAAUAAUCAGGUGUGUUUUUCCCUACAUUCCAUUAUUGUGAUAUAACACUUUGAUCAAUUUUCAUAUUUUGAAUCAUCCUUGCAUUCCAGAAGUUCAUCCCACUUGGUCAUGUUGCGGGAUCCUUUUAAUACGCUUCUGAAUUCAAUUCCCUAGCAUACUGUUGAGGGUUUCCACAUCCAUGUCAUAAAGGAUUUUGUCUGUAGGGGUUUUCUCCUUGCAGAAUCUU
rnacentral:lncRNA from 1 species